rnacentral:rRNA from 1 species
AUACAGAGGUGGCAAGCGUUGUUCGGAAUUACUGGGCGUAAAGGGCGCGUAGGCGGUCUUGUAAGUCCCGCGUGAAAGCCCCCGGCUCAACUGGGGAAUGGCACGGGAAACUGCGAGGCUUGAGUUCGGGAGAGGGAAGCGGAAUUCCGGGUGUAGCGGUGAAAUGCGUAGAUAUCCGGAGGAACACCGGUGGCGAAGGCGGCUUCCUGGACCGACACUGACGCUGAGGCGCGAAAGCUAGGGGAGCAAACGG